GACGAACGCUGGCGGCGUGCUUAACACAUGCAAGUCGAACGGAAAGGCCCUGCUUUUGUGGGGUGCUCGAGUGGCGAACGGGUGAGUAACACGUGAGUAACCUGCCCUUGACUUUGGGAUAACUUCAGGAAACUGGGGCUAAUACCGGAUAGGAGCUCCUGCUGCAUGGUGGGGGUUGGAAAGUUUCGGCGGUUGGGGAUGGACUCGCGGCUUAUCAGCUUGUUGGUGGGGUAGUGGCUUACCAAGGCUUUGACGGGUAGCCGGCCUGAGAGGGUGACCGGCCACAUUGGGACUGAGAUACGGCCCAGACUCCUACGGGAGGCAGCAGUGGGGAAUAUUGCACAAUGGGCGGAAGCAGGAUGCAGCAACGCCGCGUGCGGGAUGACGGCCUUCGGGUUGUAAACCGCUUUCGCCUGUGACGAAGCGUGAGUGACGGUAAUGGGGAAAGAAGCACCGGCUAACUACGU
rnacentral:rRNA from 1 species